rnacentral:rRNA from 1 species
AUACGUAGGGUGCGAGCGUUGUCCGGAAUUACUGGGCGUAAAGAGCUCGUAGGUGGUUUGUCGCGUCGUCUGUGAAAUUCCGGGGCUUAACUCCGGGCGUGCAGGCGAUACGGGCAUAACUUGAGUACUGUAGGGGAGACUGGAAUUCCUGGUGUAGCGGUGAAAUGCGCAGGUAUCAGGAGGAGCACCGGUGGCGAAGGCGGGUCUCUGGGAAGUAACUGACGCGGAGGAGCGAAAGCAUGGGUAGCGAACAGGAUUAGAUACCCUGGUAGUCCAUGCCGUAAACGGUGGGCGCUAGGUGUAGGGGUCUUCCACGACUUCUGUGCCGUAGCUAACGCAUUAAGCGCCCCGCCUGGGGAGUACGGCCGCAAGGCUAAAACUCAAAUGAAUUGACGGGG